ACCCUCUCUCUCCAACCCUAAGAAUAUAAGAACAUCCAUACUAGGUCAAACCAAUGAUCCGUCUAGGUCAGUAUCCUGUCUUAUGACAGUGGCCAAUGCCAAAUGCUUCAGAGCUAAU